GCCUGGGCCACGUGGCUCAUAGCUGCCUGGACAGAGGGCAGGGCUGGGCGGGGACCCCAACCACAGCCUUUGCUUCAGCAGGGUCAGCCUCCCACCAACAGGCACACCCCGCCUCACCCCCCUAUGCCAGGCUAGGUGCCAGGGGCUGGAGGGGGUGACUACACAGCAAGGCUGAGUACCUGCAAGCGGCUGGCCAGGCGGCUAAGGGGCAGCCAGGUUUGAAACAAGGGACCAGGGCACACGGUUCAAAAGACAAAAGGCACCAAAGGGUAAACUGUGACAGGAUGUCCUCCUUCCACCCUGGCCCAGCUCAGCCCUGGAGGCAACCGCUACUAGACUUUCAGGUUUUUUCUUUUCCUUUCUGAGAGAUCCUACGUGUGUGUAUGGGUACACACAUGAUUACCUGCUUUUUAAAAAAACAAGAGAAAUGGCAGCCACAUGACACACAAUAUUCUGUACUUUGCUCUUCUCGAAAACAUUCCGUGGCUCUCCCACGCUGCUGGCAUUUGGCAGGAGCUUAGCAGCAUCGAGUGGAAGUGGGGACACACGCUUGACCUAGCAAGAGCUCUCCUGGGUACACACUCCAGCAUAACGCAGGCCCAUGGGGCAGGGAGCACACGCGAGAAGAGACUAGAAACAAGACAAAUGCUCGUCCCCAGGAGGUGGUGAAUGAAGGCUCCAUGGCACCGCACAUGAUAGGGAGAAUGAAUGAAUGAAUGACUACAGCUACAUGUGGAUGAGCAUCAAAGAAGACGCCACACAGAAGAGGCAAAAACAUCGAACAAUACUCCAUCCUCGGACUUUAAGGUUCAAAGCCAGGCAAAAGGAAACUGCUUCAGGCUGCAUACAGAGGUGGCAAACAGAGAGAAAAGCAAGCAUAUGAUGGCCUCAAAAGUCAGGAGAGUUGGACUGGGCACGGUGGCUCAUGCCUGUAAUCCCAGCACUUUGGGAUGCCGAGGCGGGAGGAUUACUUGAGGCCAGGAGUUCGAGACCAGCCUGGCCAACAUUGUGAAACCCCAUCUCUACAUUUUUAGAGAAUUAAAAUUAAGGCCAGGUGGGGUGGUUCACACCUGUAAUCCCUGCACUUUGAGAGGCCAAGGCGAGUGGAUCGCCUGAGGUCAGGAGAUCAAGACCAGCCUGACCAACAUGGUGAAGCUCCGUCUCUACUAAAAAUAUAAAAAUUGGCGUGGCGUGGCGGUAGGCGCCUGUAAUCCCAGCUACUCGGGAGGCUGAGGCAGGAGAAUCACUUGAACCUGGGAGGCGAAGGUUGCAGUGAGCCGAGAUGGUGCCGCUGCACUCCAGCCUGGGUGACAGAGUGAGACUCUGUUUCAAAAAAAUAAAACAACAACAACAAAACACAAAAAUUAGCCGGGUGUGGUGGCACAUGCCUGUAAUUCCAGCUACUCGGGAGGCUGAGGUACGAGAAUUGCUUGAACCCAGAAGGUGGAGGUUGCAGUAAGCUGAGAUUGUGCCACUGCACUUCAGCCUGGGUGAUGGAGUGGGACUCUGUCUCAAAAAAAAUUAAAAUUAAAAAGAGUGGAUGCUUCUGGGGGAAGGGAGGGACUGGGAGCUUUUGGGGGUUGGGGGAGGCUGGCACCAUCUGUUUCUUCACCUGGAGGGGUGGCUACAUAGAUUUUUCCCUUUAUAGUAAUUGGUUUUGCUAUACAUUUAUGUUUUAUGCAAUUUUCACUGUGUAUCCUAACAAUUUAUAAUUAUGAUUUGAAAGAAAAAAAUUGAUAUAUCUAUACAAUUCUCCCUCGGUAGCUGAGGGAGAUUGGCUCCAGAACCCCCGCAGGAGGUACCACAUCCAGGGAUGCUCACGUCCCUCAGUCAGCCCUCCAUAACCGCGGAUGGAAAAGCUGGCCCUCCAUAGUAAAUUUUCAGUCCUUCGUUGGUUGAAUGGGUGGGUGCAGAACCCGUGAUCCUGAGGGCCCAUGAUACCCAGGGCCAACUAUAUAUACAGCAGUUCCCCUUAUCUGCAAGGCGUAUGUUCCAAGACCCCCAAUGGGAUGCCUGAAACUGUGGAUAACAUUGAACCCGAUUGCCAUCAGUUGGAACACGUUUCUGUUCCUGUCUUCCACCCCCCCAAACGUAAUGCCUUUUUCAUCUUAACCAAGCCCUUAUGCCCUGUGGCUGUUGACUUUCGCAGUUUGAGGUGUGACAGUAAACCCAGCACAAAUUCUUUCCCUUCUUCGCAAUUUCAUGGAUAGAAGGUUCGUUCUUACUGUAAAGCUUAGUAACCUUAGCAUACAAUUUUUUUUCUUUUCCUUAUUAGGUUCAAUACUUUCCCCUUUUUCACUUAAAGGAAGCACUUUACAGCUUCUCUUUGGCAUAUCCAAAUUGCCAGCAUCGCUACUCUUGCACUUUGGGGACAAUGUUAAGUGAAAUAAAGGCUACCUGAACAUAAGCACUGUGAUACGGCAACAGUGGAUGUGAGAACCGAGAAAGCUACUGAGUAGCCACAGAUGGGUAGCACAUACACCAUGGAUAUGUGGGGUAAGAAAGGUGAUUCACGUCCCGGGCGGGACAGAGUGGGAUGGCUCAAGAUUUCAUCACGAGGCUGUGCAGUGGCUCCUGCCUGUAAUCUCAGCACUUUGGGAGGCUGAAGCAGGAGGAUCAUUUGAGCCCAGGAGUUCGAGACCAGCUGAGCAAUAUAGGGAGACCUCGUCUCUACAAAAAAAAAAAAAAUCACGAUAACUCAGAAUGGUGCACAAUUUAAAAUGUAUGAGCUGUUGGGCCGGCGCAGUGGCUCAUGCCUGUAAUCCCAGCACUUUGGGUGGAUUCCUUGAGGUCAGGAGUUUGAGACCAGCCUGGCCAACAUGGUGAAACCUUGUCUCUACUAAAAAUACAAAAAUUAGCUGCGCGUGGUGGCGCAUGCCUGUAAUCCCAGCUACUUGGGAGGCUGAGGUGGGAGAAUCGCUUGAAACCAGGAAGCGGAGGUUGCAGUGAACUGAGAUGGUGCCACUGCACUCCAGCCUGGGUGACAGAGAGUCCAUCUCAAAAAAAUAAAUAAAUAAAACAUAUGAAUUGGUUAUUUCUGGAAUUUUCC
rnacentral:lncRNA from 1 species